rnacentral:rRNA from 1 species
CCUACGGGUGGCUGCAGUGAGGAAUAUUGGUCAAUGGUCGGAAGACUGAACCAGCCAUGCCGCGUGCAGGAAGACGGUCCUAUGGAUUGUAAACUGCUUUUGUACGGAAAGAAACACUCCUUCGUGAAGGAGCUUGACGGUACCGUAAGAAUAAGGAUCGGCUAACUCCGUGCCAGCAGCCGCGGUAAUACGGAGGAUCCAAGCGUUAUCCGGAAUCAUUGGGUUUAAAGCGGUUAUAGGCGUUUAGAGUGAAAUCCGGCAGCUUAACUGUCGAACUGCCAUUGAUACUGUUUGACUUGAAUUACUGUGAAGUAACUAGAAUAUGUAGUGUAGCGGUGAAAUGCUUAGAUAUUACAUGGAAUACCAAUUGCGAAGGCAGGUUACUAAUGGUUUAUUGACGCUGAUGGACGAAAGCGUGGGGAGCGAACAGGAUUAGAUACCCCAGUAGUC